CUGAUAACUAUGCUUAUUAAAAUAGUUGAUCGUGUGAAAGGUACGGCUUAUGGUGGUGUCUGGUCCUGCAAGUCAGAUUGAAAGUGGUCUUAUGGUAGAAAAUUUCAUGAUGCAAAUUCUAUGUCACUAGCGUUUAGCGUUCUUGAGGAUCUUAUUGAGCUUUUAGGGAGUAAAAGUUGCCUCAUUGAAGAGGCGGGGAGCCUACAAUGUCUCCAAUCAAAUUGAGAAAAAAGUUGACAAGAUAAAAAAAACUUCUGAACUUUAAUUCAUGUUCAUCAGAGGUAAGAAACUCUUUAAUUCAAGCUACUAACAACUUUAAUUGUUCUUGGCAGUAAAAAGAGGCUAAUUCAUGUAAGUGUUGAGUUUAAUUCAUUUAUACUACAAUUGAUAUAAAGAUAUUUUUCUUUGCAGAAAAAAGUCUUUGGGUAAUGCACUAUGAGGCAGUUGCAUAAGUAUAGGUGAUUUAUACGCGAACUGCUUUGGUAAGAAUAAUGCCUUGAGAUGAAGAUUAAGUAUUUUUGUUUUUAUUUGUUUGAUUUCAGAAAAAAACAAAUUGAAAGCAAUCUUUUUCAUUGGAGUUAGUCCAUGGUUCCUUUAAAAGAAGAGGUUAGCUUAGUAAUUGCAUCUAUUAAUAACAAUUUAGUGCAAUAUAAGAUAAGGUUAUCAAAAGUACAUUAGCUAUUCUCAUUGUUUGUAACUUUCAAUUUUACCUCAAAAGUCUUGAACAAUGAAUUAAAGAUGUAAGAAAUAUUAAUUUCCUCUCUUGAUAAUUUUUAAUCAUCUAUGUUCGAUCAUGAGUGCUUUUGUUGUUGAUUCAACUUGGUAGAUUUUAUUAUAUCCUACAUGUGAUAUAUCUAUUAACCUUUGUAAAUGUGGAUUUUACCUCAGAUUUUAUUUUAUUUAUUUUCUUUUUGAAGGGUAUUCAUAUUAAUUGAGUGUAAGAUUCAAACAUGAUGGCCUUUUGGGGAGCAAAACCAUAAUCAUUUAUGUAUGAAGAAUUUUAAUUUGAAUGUCUUCUUCUUUUUUUUUUUUUUUUGUCAUGUGGAUUACACAGUCCUAAUCCUAAGCGUUACUUAUGCACCAAAAUACCCACACCACACUCACACACACUACAUGUGUUCAUUUUUAGAUUCAUUUUUGGGUGCAUUGAAAUGUCUUCCGUUUUUUAUGACUGUUGUAUUUAUUUCAGACUAUGAAAGCACUUUAUCUAUUCAUGGGCAAUGUAUUGGAUGUUUGAACAUGAGUCCAAACUAUUUAUUUAUUUUAAAAUAUUUUAUAUGAUAAUUGGUGAGUUUGAAAUCAUUGUUGUAAUUUUUUUUGAAUUUUUUUUAAGUUAAAAUAUUGGUUAUAGAAUGAUUUAUGUUUUGUUA